AAAUAAGUCUAAGUAGAGUAAUACAUUAAAAGGGGCUAUUUGAAUAAUACAAACGCAAGAAAGCAAAGAAGUCCAUCUGCUCUUAUUUCUACUUUUGGUCCAGGCGCUUGGAUGGCCCGAUUCUCUCAACAGUCCGUUAGCCCACUUCUAUACCCGGUCCAGCCCUUUCAGCCACCAAAACGACACCGUUCCAGUCCCAAUUAAUCUCUGCCGUCCAUCAGAUCUCAUCUGACGACAGAGACUGUCCUAAAAUACCUCAUUUCUAACCUAAUACACUCUCCUUCCUCUCUAUCAUCAGCCGCCACCAAUCACCCCACCUGAAAUCGCUCAGUUGAGCGUGCCACCCUAAAACCGCCGUUGACCACCGUUGACCAUCGCCGGAGUCAGCCAAACGACGUGAAACCACCAUGUUUCUUCUCCUCUUUUUCUCCUCUACAUCAUCAUAAUAAGAUCGUACUCCCAUUUCGACCCCGCCAUUACCCCAUAGAAAUACUUAAUCCAUUCGGCCCUGCUCCGAUUACCUUGACCUUUAAUACCGGCAUACCUCUACACAUAUAUCAUUAGAUAGAUCUUAAAAAGAUCUAUUCAAUGAUAUAAGUAUUAGGGUAUUUCAAAGUUCAAGUCCUGGCUAAAUCUUGCUGAAACUACUUCUGGCAUUUCACUUAGAGGUCAACAGGUAAUUCUAUUUCUUUUUCUCCUCAAAUGAGUAGUUUUUUCUCUUUUCCAGUUUGUCAAAAGGCAUAUGCUCCUCUAUUAGUUUGUUUUCUCAUAUGUUUAGCAUAUUUUAGAUAGUUUAGGACUUAAUAACAAUUAAUUCUGUGCUUUCAUGAUUAUAGUUGUGUUUAAUUGCAUGUUUAAAUUAGUUCAUUAGUAUUUUUAGGUUUAUUUGAUUUCCGGUUGGAAUUUUUCUUUUUCUUCUGUAACUGUUACUUCAAUUUGGGUUGGUAUUUGUUUUGUUUGAUUGGGGGCCUGUCUUGUUUGACAUGCAGGCCCAUUAGGUGUGAAAGUUCAGGAGACGAGUUUGGGUAUGGGCCUGGUGGUCAGAUGGCCCAAGUCUUUUGGUACCCGUGAGGUUAAUAAAGAAGGUUGAGUUUAGGAAUUAAACUUGAGAAAUAUUUUCUGUAACUGUUUUAGAAAGUUCUAGGAGAUAGGAAAGGGUUAAACAUCAAUAAAGAAGAUAUAGAGGUUGGGGUUUGAAAGAGUAAUAAACAGAAUUUAGAAGGAGUAAAAAGAAAAGGAAAUAACUAAAAAUACAGCCUCUAUUCUGUUACAAAAUAGUACCCCCCCCCCCAACCACCACACACACACACACACUUUAGAGAUUAUCAUUUAUUCACUCUCACUCAGCUCACACAGAAUUCAUACAUACUCAUUCCUUCCUUCACACGCACCUUCUUAAUUUGCAAAGGCUGAAAAUAAUUUUUCUGCAUUCAAAUUUGAAUUCCAGAUUUGAAAAGAAAAAAAAAACUCCAAAAAAAUAACAAACAAAAACAAUUCAGAAAAAGGCUGUAGUUGGUUCUGUGGUUUCAAAAAUAAUUUCCUCUGCAUUUCUGGGUUUUGAAGACAUUUCAGCUUGGAAUUUCUGUUGUUUGUUGCUGUUCUUUGUCAAUUAGUAGCUGAGCUUCAGUUUGUAGCUAUGUUUAGCCUUUAUUUGGCCAUUUAAGAUCUACUUGCUGCUUGCACCCAAGGGUGUGGCCUAGUGGUCAAUGAAGUGGGUGAGAAUCUUGAGGUCUCAGUUCAAAUCCCAGCUUCUUCCCAUCUAUCCAAGCCUUGGUGGAUAGAGUUACCUGUUGCUGGUGUGAGGUGGGAGGUAUCCCGUGGAAUUAGUCGAGGUGCGCGCAAGCUGGCCCGGACACCACGGUUAUAAAAAAAAAAAAGAUCUACUUGCUUCUUUUAAGGUACUGAUUUCCGCCACCUCCGAUGUAACAGUUGUUUGAAUUUUAUAUUACCAUCAAGCUUGUAAUCAUAGGCUACUUAUGUGUUCUGUAAAUGUUCCUUGGGGUACUUAGUCAUUUAUGGGUUUGAUAAAUACUCUCUUCUAUGUCUAUUUGCCAGAUUAGAACUAGAUUGGAGUUUUAGUGUACAAAACUAGUAUAAAUAUGAGCAUAAAUUGUUCAUGCUAUAAUGAUCAUGAAGGCAUUUUUAAAUUAUAAUGGUUGACCAGUUAAAAUAGAGCUAGAAUUGAGAUUUUCAGGUUGAAUCGAAGCUGCAGAAAUGUCCAUUUCCAGCAGUAAUGUAUUUGUCAGUGUUAGAUAGAUCUGGAAAUUUGAAGAAGAAAUAUGAAAAAGUUCGUUUGUAUAAUGAUUUGAUCUCAGUUAUGUUGAUAUUUAGUCUAUGGUUCAAAGACUAUUUUUCUGUAUAGUUUGUGUAAAAUGAGUUUAAAACAGGUUUGUAAUAACUCCGUUCAUCAAUGAUUGUAACUAAUCAGUAGGUCAAUAAAUGUUGUUCAUAUUAUUUUCGUUUUGUGUUAAUUGAUUUAUUCCUACUUUUGAUCGUGUAUAUGAUGUUGGAU
rnacentral:lncRNA from 1 species